CCCCUAUGCAUGACUCAGUAGUAUUGCUUGUUUCCAAGGCUGCCCAGUUUUCCCCCACAGGCAUUUCCCACCACAAUCUCCUCCCUCACAUCCCCUCGAGCCAUCUCUUCACAGUCAACAUCAGCCCUCGCCCUGGGAUUGCUCCACAGUCCCUAAACUCCAGCUCCCAGCCACUGUGCCAUCUGGGUCACUCAGGAUGAAACAGCUGAAUCCCAGGAGGCACGGAUGAGAGGAGCCAUGCAAGAAUGUGGAAGUGGGAGGCCCUGUACUGGCCCUGCACGUGCUGUGUCAGCUUGAGGAGGCUCAGCUUAAUGAGUGAGGCAGCACGAGCAGCAGGGCCUGGCCCCACAGACCUCUGUCAGAAGAAAAAGAGCUUGAUCAUCCUCCACAGGGCAUCAGUGCUGCUUCCUCCGUAAGAGAGAGCAGAUUCUCUGUCAAUGAGACCACAUUCAAAGGAAGGGCCAUAUGAGGACACAACAAGAAGGCAAUCAUCUGCAAGCCAGGAAGAAGACUCACACCAGAAAUCUAAU
ensembl:lncRNA